GGUUCAGUGGUGUAGUUGGUUAUCACGUCUGUCUCACACUCGCUUGCGGCUGUAGCGCACAGGAGGCCUCCAGUUCGAACCUGGACUGAACCA
rnacentral:tRNA from 1 species